AACAAUGUUUACUCAACUUAGUAUCAAUGAUAAUGAAAGUUUAUUGGUUGAAUUAAAAAUCAAAUUGGUGAUGUUGAAUAGAUUAAGUCAGCACAGUUAAAAGAUGGCAAAUUGGUGAAGUGAAAGAGAUAAGAAACAAACGAUUCCUUUAGUGAAAGUAUUAUGGAAAAGUCAUUGUAAGACCCGAAUUUUGCCCGGCCCAUAGGGAAACCAAAAUCAAACACAAAAAUUAAACAGUCCAUCAAAUAGGUUUGGUUUACAAGCCCAAAAUUUUACAACGGCCAAAUUUUUAGGGUUUCAAAAACCCUAAGUUCCCCUUUUGCACAGCAGCCCCACGCCGCAACCCCCACGUCGGCACUCCACGCACAAUCCCCGUGUGCCUCGCUCCAUGUUUGCGCUUAUACUCCAUGCCCCUCGUUCUCCACAACUUCACGGCCUGCAAGUUGGACAAGGAAGCAGCAGAAACUGCUUGUAUUUUGGCUAUAAAGCCUUUGAUUUUUAAUUGUAAAGGGGUUUUUCUUUUUUUUGAAAUACAAAAGAUACCAAAAAAGAGAGUAAAGAGCAGCCAAGAAAAUAUUUCUAAGGUGGUUAUUUUAUCAUUUUCUUUUCCCGUUCUUUUGCUUGAUUUUUAUUUCCAUUCAAAUCCGAAAAUACGAAAUAAAAGGGGAAAAGGUGAGUACCUCUCGAUUCGCUUCGCAAGAGGGGUUCUUCGGCCCUCUGUUGGUCGUCACGGAGGCGAAUGAAGGCUUGGUGUUGACCUUGUUUGUGGCUGGAAGAAAGAGGACAGUGGGGAGAAGAAAGAGUUUAGGGUUUUUUAGAAAAAAGAAAUCAAAGUUUUUUUAGCAAAAAAAAAGACUUUAAAACUAGCUUUUGUUUUUAAUAAUAAAAUAAAUGGUUGUUAAAAGCAGUAGCAUUUUGGAAAGGCCUGCGUGUUGACCCAAUUCACAGGCUGGGUCCACGCACUUUCAUUUUAAAGGGGAAAUUUUUGCUUCCAGGCCUUCCCAUUCG
rnacentral:lncRNA from 1 species